GAAGCCCAGUCAACACAUGACCGAAAUUCAACGUUGAAAUAUGGUUGAAGUAAUGUCAGUUGAUGUUUCAACAGUGAAACAAUUAUUAAAUGUAAAAUGGUUGAAAUAGGUUAAGAAAAUCACUUAUAAAUCAAUGCUGAAAUAAGCUCAGACUAUACCUUAAAAAAAACAAGUGUUUAACCAUAUUAUAUAAUAAUAAUAAUAAUAAUAAUAAUAAAAUAAUAGUUAUGUAUAUUAAAUAAAAAUGUGUCGAUUCAGGCCUAUUUUGCCACUUCUGUGUAAAUUUGUUGGUACGUCGAUAUUUCAGAAAAUAGAAAUUAUAUGCUCAUUUUCAUUUUUUGCGGUCUGAAGAGAUAUCGCGAGAUUACACGAGACUACCUAGAUAGCAAACGCCAGAGCCUGGAGCGGAUCUGAGUUACCAUGGAAACGGGGAAACGUCAAGCAGCAAGACUCCGUCUCGCUGUUGUUUUCACUGAUUUUAGGGGCGACAGAAAACCCCCUCUACAACAAAGGGGAAGCUGACAGAGGAGGAGGAAACACAGUUAAGAAGUCUUUGACAUCCAAAUAUCCUUCCAUGCUGAUGGCCUCCUGCACCCCAGCAGAGCUGAGCGACCUCCUGUCAAAGCCUAUGAACCAGAUGACUAUAAUGCUGACUGUGGUUCAGGGGGUUGACAACUUUAAGCAUAUGUUACCAGUAAUCUCUAGCGUUUGGUGCUGAGAUUCUUCAGGACAAGGCCUUGAUGCCAUUCACACUCAGUACAUGAAGAUGAUUCACCAAACAUCUGGCUGAUUACUGCCAAUUUGCAGUAAAGACAGUGGACAAGUGAAGAGAGUGGAGGGGACGGCAUCAGAAAGGAUCUUGAGCUUACGACUGUCUUGGAUCACCCAAACCACAACUACACUAUGUAUCCAAGCACUGAACAAGGCUUUUCUCCUUAAAUAUUAAAUGUAUUUAAUUUAAGGCAGGGUUUUAUUUUUCCUGCAUAGUGAAUUACUAGGUGGCUGCCUCUGUCAAAUCUAAUGCUGUCUCCAGCUAUUAACAAAACUCAGGCAGGCAGUCACAUGCUCCCAUACCCCUUUUCCACCAACACAGUUCUGUUGCAGGCUCCUGGCCCGUGUCCAUUCUCAAACUGUUCCACGCACCUCCACUGCACAAAGGGCAGUUCCAGGUCAGAAAUAUCGGUACCCUCCCUCUUCGACAUCCUUCGCCAGUCAUCACAUUCACAACCACCACAGUCAACGCAAGUCAAGGUCCCUGGUCCACAGCAUCAACCAUCUUUGUAAGAAGAUGAAUACUGCAUUUCUUGAUUUAUCUUUAAAAUUGACAGUUUUCUUAUGGAGUGCAAUCCCUCUCUAGACGGACUGAGGUCUAUCGGUCUUACAAAAAGACACUGCAUAUGAUGUUCUCAAAAUAAAAUAAAAAAAUAAUUAAAAUAUUUAAGAAUU